rnacentral:rRNA from 1 species
GACGAACGCUGGCGGCGUGCUUAACACAUGCAAGUCGAACGGUAAGGCUCCAGCUUGCUGGGGUACACGAGUGGCGAACGGGUGAGUAACACGUGGGUGACCUGCCCUGCACUUCGGGAUAAGCCUGGGAAACUGGGUCUAAUACCGGAUAGGACCAUGGUGUGGAUACUGUGGUGGACAGUUUUUUCGGUGUGGGAUGGGCUCGCGGCCUAUCAGCUUGUUGGUGAGGUAAUGGCCUACCAAGGCGGCGCCGGGUAGCCGGCCUGAGAGGGUGGACAGCCACAUUGGGCCUGAGAGACGGACCAGACUCCUACGGGAGGCAGCAGUGGGGAAUAUUGCACAAUGGGCGGAAGCCUGAUGCAGCGACGCCGCGUGGGGGAUGACGGCCUUCGGGUUGUAAACUCCUUUCACCAUAGAUGAAGGGUUUCUGACGGUAGAUGGAGAAGAAGCACCGGCUAACUACGUG